rnacentral:lncRNA from 1 species
CAGAUAUAAAGUCCAUUGUUGGGUCAUAAUUGCAACUUGGUGGAACCUGCUGGAGCCUCCCAGGCAUUACAGAUGAAAAAAUUACAUCCCUCUGUGAUGUAAUCAUUUCAUUUUAGUAGGGGCCAUGGAUUCAUUAGCUCAGAGGAAUGAAUGAUGGAGAAUUUCAGGUAUAAAAGCAGAAAAAUGAACUUCCUUUACCUGAGGGGAACCAUAACUAAACUAAGCACACCAACAAGAUCAAAAGGCACAGUUUCGUUGCGGGGAGGAUUCAAGACCAAGGCCAUCGGACAUCUUGGGAACCUGAAAGAGCAGGGCAGACAGAACCAAGAUCCAAAUCUGGAGCUACUUGCAAAAGAGAAUAUGAAAACAGACUAAAAGAAGGUCUUCCAGAGCAAAAGUUUGAAAUUUCAUCACCAUGACUCAUCUCCCUGUGGGCCAAAUUCUGAAGCUCUGAGUCAGCCUCACUCCUAGGAGCUGGAGCUCAAUAGGAGUUUUACCUAAAUAAAGCUUGCAAGAUGAGUCCGUUAUGAUACA